rnacentral:tRNA from 1 species
UCCGUUGUAGCUCAGCGGUAGAGCACCCGGCUAGGGACCGGGAGGACGCCGGUUCGAGCCCGGUCAACGGAUCCC